rnacentral:tRNA from 1 species
GACUGCAAGGAGGCCUAGAAUGGGCUGAAUGGAGU